UUUUGCAUUCACUCCUAGACAAGAUCAACCUCUCAAGAAACAUUAAGACUCGUCUGAUGUGAUCAUGGAAAGAGUCCAAAUGGCCAGUCAACAAAUAGAAAAAUAUCUGGUGAUUCUCCUUAUAGCAUCAGGUGUUAUCUGUCAAGACCGGAUUGGACCCAGUGGCGAGAGGACCAGUGUUAUCAGUACAGAAGGAGAUUCUGUGACACUCGAGUGUUCAUACGAUUCAAGCAGCAGCUAUGUUCUCCUUUACUGGUACAGACAGUUUACUAACACACAGCCUCAAUUUGUGCUGGCGAAAGGCGGACGAUCAGAGAGAUAUAAGAUCAUACCAGACCCUCGAUUUGAAUCAACUUCAUCCCAGACAUCCACCUCACUGACUAUUAAAAGUAUAACUUUAUCAGAUUCAGCUCUCUAUUACUGUGCUCUGAUUAAUAGUAUCAGGCUGCCCAGUGUUACAAAGUGCCUGAGAGGCUUUACAAAAACUCACUCGAAAAACUUGAAUUGAACAGUAAGUUAUCACAUAAUUAUCAAACCACAUUUGUGUCUUUAUAAACCACAAAGCCAAACUGCAGGAUAUGGUAACACCUGCUGGAAAUAAAGAGUUGCAUGUGGCCUACAGUAAACACGAGCUGAAAAGUUCAAAUCAGGACAUUUUAGUGAUUAAUUCGUAAGCUUUAUAUAUUAUCAGCAUGGUUGGUUCUGAAUAUAAACAACAUGUAAAUAUUGAGUAACUUACACUUUAGAAACACAGCCAAUUGUUUUUGCUUCUUCAAUGCAAAUGAAGCCACAAAAGACUCGCAGUCCAAGCAAACAAACUGUUUUGAACAAAUCGUUUGAGUGAAUGAUUCAGUGAAUCACUCAUUAACAGUUGCUCGUUUUGUUCAUGAAUGCAUCAGAUUUGUUGAACGAAAUAAUAGAACGGAUGAUUGAUUUGAUGAAGACUGAAAGAAUCACAGUUCUGGUAAUGACUCACUAAAAGAAAUUCCAGUCACUCGUCUCCACCUACUGGUUCUGAGUUUGGAUAAUGGAACUGCAUCAAUACUGCAUUGUUGUUGCAUACUUCAAGAUGGGAUGAGCCAAUCAAACACUAACAGUAAAACACUUGCAUUUAUAAAAAUCUGGCACACAAUCAAAGGAUUCGCUGCUCAAAAGUAAUUACUGAACAAGUUGGAAAUGUCUACAUCACUUCUCUUCUGUCUCACAUUUCUGUCAGGUACAAAUACACUAUUGCUUCAACAUCAAACAAACAGUUUAGCAUUUUCUUGCUUAAAUGUCCAUUGAUAUUUUUUGCAGAAAUCAGUUUGUGUGCUCAUAUUGCACCAAAGACAAAAACUGUCUUUUGUAGAGAGGGGGAAUCUACAAAUCUCACAUGCUUGUAUGAAUCAAGCAGCCCUCAUGCUUUGCUCUUAUGAGGUAGACUGAUCCCAAGACAGGCACCUGACUUUUUAUUGCUCAAGGAUGCAUGAUCAGAGACCCGCUUUCAACGCGUAGAUCCUCGCUAUGAUUCUGCAACUUCAAAGACAUCCACUUUUCUCAUCAUUAACCAUCUAAAGCUGCAUCCUAAAACUGUGUCCUUAAAAUGUCGUUUCAUUAUUAUUUUCAUUAUGGAUUUGCAGCUUUAUGAACUGCAGCUUUAAGGGGAGGAGUUCAUCUGAGACCUUCUCCUUUACUUGA